CAAAACUUCUUCAGCACACCAUUAUUAUCAUGUUCAUUUAUCUUUCUCUGGUCAUAGAUCCUAUCACAUAAAAAGAGAAAGAGAUAUUGAUGCAGGACAACAUUUUCCCAGUCUACUGACACUGUGCCAUUGGAGAAACAACUUUAACAGCAUGACUUCGGUGCAAAGGAGGUGACAUGUCAGUGAAAACGUUUGUCUCACCUGACAUACUGGUCUCUUCCACCCACAGCAAAGUGGUGUGUGUUGGCUGGAUUCACGAAAAUGGUGUACAGCCCCACCUUCUUUUCACCCUCCUUCACCACCACCAGUUUGCUGAGAGAUAAAAAAAAGGGAUCGGUCAAUAUAGCAAACAAAGUUCAUAGAAUCAUAGAAAUAUAGCUUCACAUGUAACAAAAGUGUGUAAUGUAUCCUAUGAAUCACAGUAUGUACUAUGUACACUUACUUCAAUCUGCCCAUGAAGAAUUAAAUAACAUUUUU